AUAAGCUAGUUAUCCAUGCUAUACAAAAGGCUGUGUUGUGGUUUACUAUAUAAUUUGAGUACAUGUGAUAUGAACCUCCUUAGGUUCUCGAAGAAUUGGAUCUCACUACUCAAUGUUUAAAAGACUCAAGAAAGAUUAGGAGAAAUAAACCUUGCACCUUUGAUUGUUUUCUUAGAAUGCUUACGAAAUGAAAUUGCUUUCAGUCAAGGCUCUAACAAAUGGAGGAAAGUGGUUGGUUCAAUUAAGAUAUGUGAAGUUUGUUUAAGGCAUUAUUUGAGUUGACUAAAUGGUCUUUGAUUAACGUGGAUGAUUCUUGAUGUGAAUUAAUAUGUUCUUAGUUGGGAAUUGGUUGGAUGAGCGAUGCUAAGCAAGGUUCACUAGAGAAAAGAUGUGGUGCUAAGCAAGGUUCAUAAAACAAACUCAAUGAACUUGAUGAUAGGACAAAAGUUGAUGGAGACUAAGCCAACAACAAUGUCUUUUAUUUAUUUACUUUUCUACUGUCCGAGUCCAUUCCCACUUUUAACGUAUUUAGUGUCUUCUUAAAUCAGCAACACCUUGCAUCGCACACCACGACACAGUCAUACCCCGAUUCCUCUGAUGUACACACGCAAACGUUUGUAUUCUUGUCGGCAACUCUUGCCGGUUUCUUGUUCCUCAGAAACCUCAGAUCUCAACCUCACACCACUGACACCGACUUGGACGCAAACAAAGAAAACAAUGAACAACACACCUAACCUUAAAGAAUGAACAUUCAAGGUACAAAGAGGACCCUUUUCCACCUCUUUCUGUUUAUGCUUUAGAUUUUACAAAAAUGUUGUCUUUUCAUAUCGUGAAUUGGUGAGUCUACUGGUUCGUGAUGCAUUGCAAUCUGGGUUCUGGACCUUCCUUGACAUGGCUAGUGGUCGCUAUCUUUGGAGGCACUUAGUGUCUUCCUCUUUCCCAAAGCCUGAAUGAACGGUUCCCAUGGUAUAUAGUUGCUUUUAAUGGUGAUAAUAAUCAUAACUUAGCUGCAAUACACUACUGUCCAGUUCCUUAACAUGUGAUUUAGACUUAUAUGCCAGUGAUUGCUUGUUGCUUUUAUGUGUGUAGCUGUAAAUGGAAUACCAAUAUGGUGCGGUUGAUUCGCAAAUAACCAUGUUUCUUACUCACCAUUUCUCCAACGCAUGUGUUUUAGAGAUUAAUCGUUUGUGAAUGUAUAAACCGUAGGAGAACAAAUAUUUCAACAAAAGAGUAUUUUACAGAUUAGUUUGAGGUUUUGGGAUGAAAGUAUAUCUCAGUUCACGAAAAUGUUGUAAAUUAAAUACGGUUUUCUUCCCUUAGAAACUGGUCUUCUUUAUCUUAUGAUUUUUUUUAAUAAAUUAGUGACUGAAAUGAGAAUUUUAUAGAGUAGAAGACUAAAGUGAUCUACUCUUACAAGACUAGAACGGGGUUCUACAAGGAUAACCCACCAAUGACCAGUUGAUAAUGCAACAUGCUUCACCUACUCUAAGGAAAAUAUCUUAGCCUCUAAAAUUCUGGCAUCAAUAAUUUGGAACUGAUUUUAAAUGCUACAAGGAAACUUUUGCUGUGCGGAGUAUUCUGUUUAUUAGAAUUGGUUUUGGAAGAAUAUAAUCUAGAUUCCUGGUUGUACACAAUAUAUAACCUCAUUUCUGAAAGUUAGAAAUCUGUCUGGUUUUUAUAAAGAAUAAUAAUUUAUAGUCUGUGAUAAAGAUUAAUUUAUCCCAACAUUAUUGAAAUCAAUUGAUUGUGAAAAUCAGUUCUAGACAUAGAAAAUUAAUGGGGUAUACUUUUGGAUUAGUUUCUUGAUAUUGAUCAUGUAUGAUUAGUGACAAAAUUGCCUUUGCCUGUAUCAGAAGCAGGUCUUUGUAUAAAAAGAAUAGAUAAAGAAACUACACAAUUUAUUGAUUUCUCUCAGGACAGUAUGUAUGACUCUCAUUAUUCACUCAUGUCCUUAAAACAUUUGGAGCCACUACCACUACAAACCUGUUUUUAACCAGUAAACAUGCAUAUAUAUUCAAAACUAAACAUCUGCCACCUGAAUUUGAGACUAUGUAUUACAAUAAGGUCAUGGCAUUGUAAAACAGAAGAAAAAUAUACAGAUACAGCAUAAUUUAAAAUGGCAUUUCAUAUUAUUGAUGCACAAAUAAUAAGGUUUGAGAUAUUGAAAACUAAGAAAAAUUUGUAUUUGGGACUGAGAUUGUUGUUGCUGAGGUUGCUCCAACUGUUGUGAUUACUGUUGUUGGUCACCUUGCCAUACCCAAACAAUAUCUUUAAGAGCAGGCCUUAUGGCUUCUUUUAGUAUUUUCUCAUAUUCCAGCGUAUCUCCAUUUGAUUUCUUCACCUCCACCAAGUGCAGAAGUGGAGUAAUCUCGAAGAUCUCUGCAUCAAUGGAUAAGAUCCCCUUCCUACCUUCAUGAAGGCCCUCCAUUUUCAACAAACCGGCAGCCCUUUUCUUUAUUUUCAUCUUCAGCCCAUUGGCCAUUUCUUCCAGCCUGAAGAUGAUGAC
rnacentral:lncRNA from 1 species